rnacentral:rRNA from 1 species
UACAGAGGUCCCAAGCGUUGUUCGGAUUUACUGGGCGUAAAGGGUGCGUAGGUGGCGAGGUAAGUUUGAUGUGAAAUCUCCGAGCUCAACUCGGAAACGGCAUUGAAUACUAUCCCGCUUGAGGGUCGGAGGGGAGACUGGAAUUCUCGGUGUAGCAGUGAAAUGCGUAGAUAUCGAGAGGAACACCAGUGGCGAAGGCGAGUCUCUGGACGACUCCUGACACUGAGGCACGAAAGCUGGGGGAGCAAACAGG